UUGUACAUUCAAAUAUGCAAAUAUGAGGAAGAGAAAGAUUAAUGUAAGUCAAAGUAUGAUUAUGACAUGCAAGAUAUGUUUUUUUCCUGGAAUAAAUAAACAAGCAAACAAAAAGAACAAGGGGCUCACAAAUUACAGACAAAUUUAACAAAGGACUUAUGUGAGGCCCCUAAAGCUUACCACUGGGUAUAAAUAAAGCAAAUCUGGAGCUGCAGAUUAAUAUAUAACAACAAUAACAUCAUGUCUGUAUCUAUGUAACAGGAUGGACAAUACUUGAAGAGAAACACUUAUCAUCAAUCAGAAUUGCCAUACAUCUCUAUCUCUCUAUACUAUAUCAGUUUCCUAUAUAGUAAUUAUUUUCUUUGUACAUGUGCCUCUUAUAUAGAUUCUUAAACUUGUAUAUUCUUAGGUAUUCAUCCACUUGGUUUCUCCUUACUCUUUCCUUUGCCAUCUUCUCUCAUGUUUACCUUCUAUACAUCCAGCAUAUAUUGUUUCGUUACUCGCUCUUUACUUAUUUCCUCUAUAUGAUUAAACCCUUGUGGCUAUCCUCUGGCAACAUUGCCAAAAGUUGAUUCAUCUGGCGACAUUACCAA
rnacentral:lncRNA from 1 species